GCCUCAAUAGGAUAGCGGUAGUGCGUUGCGGCUCGUUAGGCCUUCUCAUCUUAAAAACCCCGCGACGACGCCCGUUCGAUUCGGGCUUGAGGCU